AACGAACGCUGGCGGCAUGCCUAACACAUGCAAGUCGAACGAGACCUUCUGGUCCAGUUGCGCACUGGUGCGUAACGCGUGGGAACCUUCCCUUAGGUUCGGAAUAACUCCCCGAAGGGGGUGCUAAUAGCGGAUAAUGUCUUCUAACCCAUGAUUAAUCGCCUUAGGAUGGGCCCGAUUUGGAUUAGCUAUUUGGUAAGGUAAAAGCCUACCAAGGCUAAGUUGCAUAGCUGGUCUGAGAGGAUGAUCAGAAACACUAGGUGUGUGACCCGGCGGAGACUCUUGGGGGAGGCAGAAGUGGGGAAUAUUGGACGCUGGGCGAGAGAAUGAUGCAGUAAUGCCGCGUGAGUGAUGAAGUAGUUAGGGUUGUAAAGCAGUUUUAAAAGGGAUGAUAAUGACGGUACCGAGAGAAUAAGCUCCGGCUAACUCCGUG
rnacentral:rRNA from 1 species